CUAAUACCCAAUGACCGUGACAUUACCUUCAGAAUAAGGACCGGCUAAUUCCGUGCCAGCAGCCGCGGUAAUACGGAAGGUCCAAGCGUUAAUCGGAAUUACUGGGCGUAAAGCGCGCGUAGGUGGUUUAUUAAGUUGGAUGUGAAAUCCCCGGGCUCAACCUGGGAACUGCAUCCAAAACUGAUUCACUAGAGUACGAUAGAGGGAGGUAGAAUUCACAGUGUAGCGGUGGAAUGCGUAGAUAUUGUGAAGAAUACCAAUGGCGAAGGCAGCCUCCUGGAUCUGUACUGACACUGAGGUGCGAAAGCGUGGGUAGCGAACAGGAUUAGAUACCCUGGUAGUCCACGCCGUAAACGAUGUCAACUAGCUGUUGGGGAACUAUGUUCUUCAGUGGCGCAGCUAACGUAGUAAGUUGACCGCCUGGGGAGUACGGCCGCAAGGCUAAAACUCAAAUGAAUUGACGGGGACCCGCACAAGCGGUGGAGCAUGUGGUUUAAUUCGAUGCAACGCGAAAAACCUUACCUAUACUUGACAUACUUGGAAUGCUUUGUAAUGAAGCAGUGCCUUCGGGAGCCAGGAUACAGGUGCUGCAUGGCUGUCGUCAGCUCGUGUCGUGAGAUGUUCCGUUAAGUCGGAUAACGAGCGCAACCCUUACCCUUAUUUGCCAGCGAUUCGGUCGGGAACUAUAAGGGGACUGCCGGUGAUAAACCGGAGGAAGGUGAGGACGACGUCAAGUCAUCAUGGCCCUUACGUAUAGGGCUACACACGUGCUACAAUGGAGAAUACAGACGGACGCUAAGCCGCGAGGUGGUGCCAAUCCUAGAAAAUUCUUCGUAGUCCGGAUUGGAGUCUGCAACUCGACUCCAUGAAGUCGGAAUC
rnacentral:rRNA from 1 species